UGAAGGCUAGCUACAGGCUUAACACAUGCAAGUCGAGGGGCAGCAUGGUCUUAGCUUGCUAAGGCCGAUGGCGACCGGCGCACGGGUGAGUAACACGUAUCCAACCUGCCGUCUACUCUUGGACAGCCUUCUGAAAGGAAGAUUAAUACAAGAUGGCAUCAUGAGUCCGCAUGUUCACAUGAUUAAAGGUAUUCCGGUAGACGAUGGGGAUGCGUUCCAUUAGAUAGUAGGCGGGGUAACGGCCCACCUAGUCUUCGAUGGAUAGGGGUUCUGAGAGGAAGGUCCCCCACAUUGGAACUGAGACACGGUCCAAACUCCUACGGGAGGCAGCAGUGAGGAAUAUUGGUCAAUGGGCGAGAGCCUGAACCAGCCAAGUAGCGUGAAGGAUGACUGCCCUAUGGGUUGUAAACUUCUUUUAUAAAGGAAUAAAGUCGGGUAUGGAUACCCGUUUGCAUGUACUUUAUGAAUAAGGAUCGGCUAACUCCGUGCCAGCAGCCGCGGUAAUACGGAGGAUCCGAGCGUUAUCCGGAUUUAUUGGGUUUAAAGGGAGCGUAGAUGGAUGUUUAAGUCAGUUGUGAAAGUUUGCGGCUCAACCGUAAAAUUGCAGUUGAUACUGGAUAUCUUGAGUGCAGUUGAGGCAGGCGGAAUUCGUGGUGUAGCGGUGAAAUGCUUAGAUAUCACGAAGAACUCCGAUUGCGAAGGCAGCCUGCUAAGCUGCAACUGACAUUGAGGCUCGAAAGUGUGGGUAUCAAACAGGAUUAGAUACCCUGGUAGUCCACACGGUAAACGAUGAAUACUCGCUGUUUGCGAUAUACAGCAAGCGGCCAAGCGAAAGCGUUAAGUAUUCCACCUGGGGAGUACGCCGGCAACGGUGAAACUCAAAGGAAUUGACGGGGGCCCGCACAAGCGGAGGAACAUGUGGUUUAAUUCGAUGAUACGCGAGGAACCUUACCCGGGCUUAAAUUGCAGAUGAAUUACGGUGAAAGCCGUAAGCCGCAAGGCAUCUGUGAAGGUGCUGCAUGGUUGUCGUCAGCUCGUGCCGUGAGGUGUCGGCUUAAGUGCCAUAACGAGCGCAACCCUUGUUGUCAGUUACUAACAGGUUCCGCUGAGGACUCUGACAAGACUGCCAUCGUAAGAUGUGAGGAAGGUGGGGAUGACGUCAAAUCAGCACGGCCCUUACGUCCGGGGCUACACACGUGUUACAAUGGGGGGUACAGAGGGCCGCUACCACGCGAGUGGAUGCCAAUCCCAAAAACCUCUCUCAGUUCGGACUGGAGUCUGCAACCCGACUCCACGAAGCUGGAUUCGCUAGUAAUCGCGCAUCAGCCACGGCGCGGUGAAUACGUUCCCGGGCCUUGUACACACCGCCC
rnacentral:rRNA from 1 species